rnacentral:lncRNA from 1 species
CACACCUGCAGUUUGUCCCCAUCAUGGGAUCAAACUUUCUUCUCCCUGCAGUAUAGCCUACACAUGGGAUUCACACUUCUCUUCGGCUGCAAUUCGUCCUGAGGGGCGAACUACGUCGACCUGAUCUCCCUGAUACAACAGAGUAUAUAGGCAACCAUAUUCUAUAUGGCCUGGUCGCAAUAAACAAAAAAGACAAAAACAUUUUUGCCCUUUCUCUACAAAAACAAAAACCACAAAAAUAC